CCUACGGGGGGCUGCGGUGGGGAAUAUUGGACAAUGGGGGCAACCCUGAUCCAGUCAUGCCGCGUGUGUGAAGAAGGCCCUCGGGUUGUAAAGCACUUUCAGUGAGGAAGAACGCCUGGUGGUUAAUACCCAUCAGGAAAGACAUCACUCACAGAAGAAGCACCGGCUAACUCCGUGCCAGCAGCCGCGGUAAUACGGAGGGUGCGAGCGUUAAUCGGAAUUACUGGGCGUAAAGCGCGCGUAGGUGGCUUGAUAAGCCGGUUGUGAAAGCCCCGGGCUCAACCUGGGAACGGCAUCCGGAACUGUCAAGCUAGAGUGUAGGAGAGGAAGGUAGAAUUCCCGGUGUAGCGGUGAAAUGCGUAGAGAUCGGGAGGAAUACCAGUGGCGAAAGCGGCCUUCUGGACUGACACUGACACUGAGGUGCGAAAGCGUGGGUAGCAAACAGGAUUAGAUACCCUGGUAGUC
rnacentral:rRNA from 1 species